CCCUUAGAUGUUCUGGGCCGCACGCGUGCUACACUGAGUGGAUCAGCGGGCCAGGUUGCGCGAAAGCGUUUCCUAAUCUUUAAAUCCGCUCGUGAUGGGGAUUGACGGUUGCAAUUUUCUGUCAUGAACGAGGAAUACCUUGUAAGCGCGGGUCAUCAUCCCGCGCUGAAUACGUCCCUGCCCUUUGUACACACCGCCCGUCGCUCCUACCGAUUGAGUGGUCCGGUGAGGCUUUGGGAUCUGAGCGGAAAGAGCGUUUCGCUGUUUCUGCUCGGAAAACUCAGUCGAACCUUAUCAUUUAGAGGAAGGAGAAGUCGUAACA
rnacentral:rRNA from 1 species